CCCGUAUUUGUAUUGAUAUUUCUUAUAGUUAAAAUGAUCACUUCUCGUGAAGCCAAAGGUAUUCAGACAUACUUUGAGCAAUGUAGUAGAGGCUUUGAUGUUUUGCCAGGCUUUGAUUUCUAAAAGGCGAGAUGAUUAUCAGAGGCUUUGUUUUGUUACUAUUCGUUGCAUUAAUAUCGUCUCUGGUCAAGGAACAUGGAAGAAGCGAUGGGAGUAAACACGAAUUCGAAGACUCAGCUUUCUCAAGCAAGACCAUACCAAGGGAGAUUCACCACUGGAUCAGAUUUGACGGAGAUUGGUAUAACUGUCACUUGGAACGUAGUAUUGAUUCGCAUGGUGUGUUCUGUAGCUGCCCGUUUCUGGCAUGCACGGGAUACCCGCACUGCUUCGGCUUAAAGCAUUGUAAAAUAUCCAAGAGAUACGAUUAUUUAAACAUCAAGAAGGAAGAGUGUAAAUGCCGCAGAUUUUACUAAACGCGUGAAACAUGGAGAAAACUGUUGAAAACAGAAAGACCAAUAUGAAAUAAGUGCAAAACUUUGGAAGAAAUUGUUUAAUAAAAUAAUAAAAUAACA
rnacentral:misc_RNA from 1 species